rnacentral:rRNA from 1 species
UACGAGGGGGGCAAAUGUUGUUCGGAAUCACUGGGCGUAAAGGGAGCGUAGGCGGGUUCUUAAGUAAGGAGUUUAAUCCCGGGGCCCAACCCCGGACCGGCACUUUAAACUGGGAAUCUUGAAUAGUGGAGAGGUCAGUGGAAUUGGGGGUGUAGCGGUGGAAUGCGUAGAGAUCCCCAAGAACACCAGUUGCGAAGGCGGCUGACUGGACACAUAUUGACGCUGAGGCUCGAAAGCAUGGGGAGCAAACAGG